CUUUAGACUUUAAAGUAUUGUAGUAUUAUUAUACCGAAUGCAUACGAAUUAUACAAUAUACGGCCGAAACUAUUGAGCAAACUACUUAGCCUGUAGCCGGGUGAGCAGUUGCACGUUGUAGGCCUAAGCUGCAAGAUCCCCCAGUGCGUGCGGUUGCGUUUAGAGAGUCACUUAGUAUUCACGCGCGCCUACCAUUUCCUAUAAAAAUUAAACCUGUUGAACUAUUUCAGGCACGAGUAUUAUUACAAAAUGCGUAUCCACGUUACCUUGCAACUUGUCAGCUUGCACGCACGAACACCAGUGAACUCUGUGUAAACAUGCGUUAUUCUAUGUUUACAUAGAGUUCACUGGCGUACAUGCAUGUACACUAGCUGAGCCUGGUCUUGGGAGAAGC